rnacentral:rRNA from 1 species
UUAGUCGGUCCUAAGUUCAAGGCGAAAGCCGAAAAUUUUCAAGUAAACAAAAAUGCCUAACUAUAUAAACAAAAGCGAAUUAUAAUACACUUGAAUAAUUUUGAACGAAAGGGAAUACGGUUCCAAUUCCGUAACCUGUUGAGUAUCCGUUUGUUAUUAAAUAUGGGCCUCGUGCUCAUCCUGGCAACAGGAACGACCAUAAAGAAGCCGUCGAGAGAUAUCGGAAGAGUUUUCUUUUCUGUUUUAUAGCCGUACUACCAUGGAAGUCUUUCGCAGAGAGAUAUGGUAGAUGGGCUAGAAGAGCAUGACAUAUACUGUUGUGUCGAUAUUUUCUCCUCGGACCUUGAAAAUUUAUGGUGGGGACACGCAAACUUCUCAACAGGCCGUACCAAUAUCCGCAGCUGGUCUCCAAGGUGAAGAGUCUCUAGUCGAUAGAAUAAUGUAGGUAAGGGAAGUCGGCAAAUUAGAUCCGUAACUUCGGGAUAAGGAUUGGCUCUGAAGAUUGAGAUAGUCGGGCUUGAUUGGGAAACAAUAACAUGGUUUAUGUGCUCGUUCUGGGUAAAUAGAGUUUCUAGCAUUUAUGUUAGUUACUUGUUCCCCGGAUAGUUUAGUUACGUAGCCAAUUGUGGAACUUUCUUGCUAAAAUUUUUAAGAAUACUAUUUGGGUUAAACCAAUUAGUUCUUAUUAAUUAUAACGAUUAUCAAUUAACAAUCAAUUCAGAACUGGCACGGACUUGGGGAAUCCGACUGUCUAAUUAAAACAAAGCAUUGUGAUGGCCCUAGCGGGUGUUGACACAAUGUGAUUUCUGCCCAGUGCUCUGAAUGUCAAAGUGAAGAAAUUCAAGUAAGCGCGGGUCAACGGCGGGAGUAACUAUGACUCUCUUAAGGUAGCCAAAUGCCUCGUCAUCUAAUUAGUGACGCGCAUGAAUGGAUUAACGAGAUUCCUACUGUCCCUAUCUACUAUCUAGCGAAACCACAGCCAAGGGAACGGGCUUGGAAUAAUUAGCGGGGAAAGAAGACCCUUUUGAGCUUGACUCUAAUCUGGCAGUGUAAGGAGACAUAAGAGGUGUAGAAUAAGUGGGAGAUAUUAGACCUCGGUUUGGUAUCGUCAAUGAAAUACCACUACUCUUAUUGUUUCCUUACUUACUUGAUUAAAUGGAACGUGUAUCAUUUCCUAGCCAUUAUACGGAUAUAUUUAUUAUAUCUUAUGGUAUUGGGUUUUGAUGCAAGCUUCUUGAUCAAAGUAUCACGAGUUUGUUAUAUAAUCGCAAACAAAUUCUUUAAUAAAACGAUGCAUUUAUGUAUUUUUGAUUUGAAAAUUUGGUAUAACUCCAAUUACUCAGGUAUGAUCCAAUUCAAGGACAUUGCCAGGUAGGGAGUUUGACUGGGGCGGUACAUCUCUCAAAUAAUAACGGAGGUGUCCCAAGGCCAGCUCAGUGCGGACAGAAACCACACAUAGAGCAAAAGGGCAAAUGCUGACUUGAUCUCGGUGUUCAGUACACACAGGGACAGCAAAAGCUCGGCCUAUCGAUCCUUUUGGUUUAAAGAGUUUUUAACAAGAGGUGUCAGAAAAGUUACCAUAGGGAUAACUGGCUUGUGGCGGCCAAGCGUUCAUAGCGACGUCGCUUUUUGAUCCUUCGAUGUCGGCUCUUCCUAUCAUUGUGAAGCAAAAUUCACCAAGCGUUGGAUUGUUCACCCAUGCAAGGGAACGUGAGCUGGGUUUAGACCGUCGUGAGACAGGUUAGUUUUACCCUACUAAUGACAAAACGUUGUUGCGACAGCAUUCCUGCGUAGUACGAGAGGAACCGCAGGUACGGACCAAUGGCACAAUACUUGUUCGAGCGAACAGUGGUAUGACGCUACGUCCGUUGGAUUAUGCCUGAACGCCUCUAAGGUCGUAUCCGUGCUGGACUGCAAUGAUAAAUAAGGGGCAAUUUGCAUUGU